UACGGGGGGAGCAAGCGUUGUUCGGAUUUACUGGGCGUAAAGGGCGCGUAGGCGGCCAGCGCAAGUCAGUUGUGAAAUCUCCGGGCUUAACUCGGAACGGUCAACUGAUACUGCGCGGCUAGAGUGCAGAAGGGGCAACUGGAAUUCUCGGUGUAGCGGUGGAAUGCGUAGAGAUCCGGAAGAACACCGGUGGCGAAGGCGGGUCUCUGGGCAUCUCCUGACGCUGAGGCGCGAAAGCGUGGGGAGCAAACAGG
rnacentral:rRNA from 1 species